GGUGGUUUUAUGCAGUAUGGUUAAGUGGGUGGAUGGGUGGUUUUAUGUUAGUAGGUUAAGUGGGUGGAUGGCUGGUUUUAUGUAAGUAGGUUAAGUGGGUGGAUGGGAGGUUUGUAAAUAGGUUAAGUAGAUGGAUGGGUGGUUUGUAAAUAGGUUGCUUGGGUGGAUGGGUGGGUUUGUAAAUAGUUUAAGUGGAUGGAUGAAUGGUUUCAUGUAAGUAGGUUAAGUCUGUGGAUUGGUUGUUUUAUGUAAGUAGCUUAAGUGGGUGGAUGGGUUGUUUUACGUAA